rnacentral:rRNA from 1 species
UUCGGUGGCUAUUUCGUAGGGGAUCCACCUCUUCCCAUCCCGAACAGAGAAGUUAAGCCCUUCAGAGCCGAUGGUACUGCACGGGUAACUGUGUGGGAGAGUAGGUCGCCGCCGAAU